AAAUCAUGUUAGGAGGGCACCUUUUGAUCAGUUACUUGUACAUCUCCUAAGCUUCACAGAGGGAUUCACCCUCUUUCGGUCUGAAGGUUUGAACUUCCACCCUGAGCUU